CUUUUAUAACCAUAUGGCAGAAGAGAUGUGCAGAGAAGGACUCCUAGAAGAGGAAACUUCCAACUCCCAGUGCUCCUCAGCGUGUGAAAACCAGAGGACCAAAGGACCAAUGUUCUUUUUCGUCAACUAUUUGUGGUUUGGCACUGGGAGUCCUUGCAGUCGUGCCUCAGAGUCCUCCAUGGUCUGGCUUCCUCAUGCUCACAUUCAGCUCUGAAUUCUUCAAAGGAAUCUCUGCAGAAAAGGAACACCAAACAGCUCAUGUCAUAAGUUGAAAUUCCUAUUGACAUCUGACAACUCUGUAAGCUGGAAAGAACAUAGUUGUUAUGUCAGAAAGGUCUUCCAGUCUCUUUCAUGUGAGCCUUGGCAAGUUAGGUGACGUCUCUGAGCCUUGUUCCUUCAUCUCUUGAGUGGGGAUAAUGAUAUCUACCUGCCAAGACCAUUAUAAGGAUUAAAGGGAUAAUUCAUAUUAAAAUCUUGGCACAUACUAAGCACUUCAUAAAAAAU
rnacentral:lncRNA from 1 species